GAAUCCUGCCUAGCAGAAUGACCAGAGAACUCGUAACAAACUCAAUAGGUACGGUGGGUCUUUUCCUACCGUCCCUCGACGCUGGGAUCGCACGGGCGCCUAGAGCGCUCGGGCCUUCUCAGCGGCACAACGAACCCCGGCGCGGAAUGCGCCAAGGAACUUAAACAAGAGAGCGAUGCUCCCAUCACCCCAGACAUGGUGCGUGCUUGGGAUGCCAUGCAAUCUCCUAUUAUUUAUAACGACUCUCGGCAACGGAUAUCUCGGCUCUCGCAUCGAUGAAGAACGUAGCGAACUGCGAUACUUGGUGUGAAUUGCAGAAUCCCGUGAACCAUCGAGUCUUUGAACGCAAGUUGCGCCCGAAGCCAUUCGGUCGAGGGCACGUUUGCCUGGGUGUCACACACGGCGUUGCCCCUAAUCCCUCGCCUUUAAUUGGGCGGGCAGGACUCGGGUGCGUAUGUUGGCCUCCCGCGACGAUUUCGUCCCGGUUGGCCCAAAAUCGAGCGCUGGAGCGAUCAGCACCACGACAUUCGGUGGUUGAUGAGACCCCAAUGAUCAAUGUCAUGCGUGUCGCCCGUGCAGGCGCUCCGUGAAUCUACUCUUUACCAAC
rnacentral:rRNA from 1 species